rnacentral:rRNA from 1 species
UACGUAGGGGGCAAGCGUUGUUCGGAAUUACUGGGCGUAAAGGGCUCGUAGGUGGCCAACUAAGUCAGACGUGAAAUCCCUCGGCUUAACCGGGGAACUGCGUCUGAUACUGGAUGGCUUGAGUUUGGGAGAGGGACGCGGAAUUCCUGGUGUAGCGGUGAAAUGCGCAGAUAUCAGGAGGAACACCGGUGGCGAAGGCGGGUCUCUGGGCCGAUACUGACGCUGAGGAGCGAAAGCGUGGGGAGCGAACAGG